UGGGGAAUAUUGGACAAUGGGCGAAAGCCUGAUCCAGCCAUGCCGCGUGUGUGAAGAAGGUCUUCGGAUUGUAAAGCUCUUUAAGUUGGGAGGAAGGGCAGUAAGCGAAUACCUUGCUGUUUUGACGUUACCGACAGAAUAAGCACCGGCUAACUCUGUGCCAGCAGCCGCGGUAAUACAGAGGGUGCAAGCGUUAAUCGGAAUUACUGGGCGUAAAGCGGGCGUAGGUGGUUCGUUAAGUUGAAUGUGAAAGCCCCGGGCUCAACCUGGGAAAUGCAUACAAAACUGGCGAGCUAGAGUAGGGCAGAGAGUGGUGGAAUUUCCUGUGUAGCGGUGAAAUGCGUAGAUAUAGGAAGGAACACCAGUGGCGAAGGCGACCACCUGGGCUCAUACUGACACUGAGGUGCGAAAGCGUGGGGAGCAAACAGG
rnacentral:rRNA from 1 species